rnacentral:rRNA from 1 species
GACCGAGGGUGCAAGCGUUGUUCGGAAUUACUGGGCGUAAAGCGCGUGUAGGCGGCUAAGUAAGUCGGGCGUGAAAUCCCACGGCUCAACCGUGGAAGUGCACUCGAAACUGCAUAGCUAGAGUCCUGGAGAGGAAGGUGGAAUGCUUGGUGUAGAGGUGAAAUUCGUAGAUAUCAAGCGGAACACCGGUGGCGAAGGCGGCCUUCUGGACAGUGACUGACGCUGAGACGCGAAAGCGUGGGGAGCAAACAGG